rnacentral:rRNA from 1 species
UACAGAGGUGGCAAGCGUUGUUCGGAAUUACUGGGCGUAAAGGGCGCGUAGGCGGCCUUGUAAGUCCUGUGUGAAAUCCCCCGGCUCAACUGGGGAACUGCACAGGAGACUGCUUGGCUUGGGUUCGGGAGAGGGAAGCGGAAUUCCGGGUGUAGCGGUGAAAUGCGUAGAUAUCCGGAGGAACACCGGUGGCGAAGGCGGCUUCCUGGACCGACACUGACGCUGAGGCGCGAAAGCCAGGGGAGCAAACGGG